AUCAUGGCUGCGGCACGUCCGAAUCCCGUCCAGAUCUGGCCAAUCUUGGCUGGCUGUGGAAUGCAAAAAAAACAAACUCCCAAGGACAUUUGAGGCCAGGAUGCGGGCCAGGCCAGUCAACUUUUGUGCGCCACAUAAUCAAGGCAGCAAUGGGGAAAAGAGCAGUAGGCAGUAGAAGCAGAAAUGCGAGUUAACUAUAUCAACAGGGGAAAAACAUAUCGAUUUAACUGUUGACACAUUCACAGGCCCGCAGGCUCAGGCGAUAAAGACGACCUCUUGGCAAAAGGAAACGGCGAAACACGUUAUUACACUAAGCGGAUUUGAACGGGCUGCGUGUCCUUGAGCUUUGGCACGCCUCAGUUCCUAAACCUCCCAAUCGCUACCUUCCCAGCUUCCUCCUCCCAUCCCAGGCGAUGCAAAUCCAUGAUUGAUAGUUUAAGCCGGUACAAGUUCCGCAUGCCGGCAGAGUUCGCGACCGGCUUAAUUAAGCCAUUGGGCAAUCUGGCUGGACGAUCGCUCGCCCACCACGUGCCCGGCAUAAAAAAAUGGCCAGCUCCAACAUGAUGCUACUAUUAUAUAUACAGCCACUGCGACUGCUACUGCCCUCCAGUUAGACAACGUGCCAUAAAUAUUCAAAGAGUCCCGCCCAAAUGCUGCGCGCCGGCGCACAGUCUCUUUUUCGGAGCGAGCGCGAUUAUCUGGCGUCCAUAAACAAUGUUUUCCAUUUUGUUGU
ensembl:ncRNA asRNA:CR46091 antisense RNA:CR46091